rnacentral:rRNA from 1 species
AUUGAACGCUAGCGGCAUGCCUUACACAUGCAAGUCGAACGGAGGGGCGAACGGGUGAGUGAUGGAACUGAACGUGCCCAGUAGCGGGGGAUAACGACGCGAAAGGGUAGCUAAAGCCGAAUACUCUUGGAGCGGCAGAUAUCGGAUUAGCUAGGUGGUGGGGUAACGGCACACCAAGGCGACGAUCCGUAGCUGGUCUGAGAGGACGACCAGCCACACUGGGACUGAGACACGGCCCAGACUCCUACGGGAGGCAGCAGUGGGGAAUUUUGGACAAUGGGGGAAACCCUGAUCCAGCCAUCCCGCGUGUGUGAUGAAGGCCGUCGGGUUGUAAAGCACUUUUGGCAGGGAAGCGUUACCUGCAGAAUAAGCACCGGCUAACUACGUGCCAGCAGCCGCGGUAAUUC